rnacentral:rRNA from 1 species
AGCAGCCGCGGUAAUUCCAGCUCCAAUAGCGUAUAUUAAAGUUGUUGCAGUUAAAAAGCUCGUAGCUGAAUUUCGGGGUUAGUAAGUUGGUCAUGCCUUCGGUAUGUACUGGCUUUACUGAUUCCUCCUUCUUGACGAACCGUGAUGUCAUUAAUUUGGUGUUGCGGGAAAUCAGGACUGUUACUUUGAAAAAUUGGAGUGUUUAAAGCAGGCUAACGCUUGAAUACAUUAGCAUGGAAUAAUGAAAUAGGACGUUAAUCCUAUUUUGUUGGUUUCUAGGAUCGACGUAAUGAUUAAUAGGGAUAGUUGGGGGCAUUAGUAUUCAAUUGUCAGAGGUGAAAUUCUUGGAUUUAUUGAAGACUAACUACUGCGGAAGCAUUUGCCAAGGAUGUUUUCAUUAAUCAAGAACGAAAGUUAGGGGAUCGAAGACGAUCAGAUACCGUCGUAGUC